rnacentral:rRNA from 1 species
AUACGUAGGGGGCGAGCGUUGUCCGGAAUGAUUGGGCGUAAAGGGCGCGUAGGCGGCCCGGUAAGUCUGGAGUGAAAGUCCUGUUUUUAAGAUGGGAAUUGCUUUGGAUACUGUCGGGCUUGCGUGCAGGAGAGGUAAGUGGAAUUCCCAGUGUAGCGGUGAAAUGCGUAGAGCUUGGGAGGAACACCAGUGGCGAAGGCGACUUACUGGACUGUAACUGACGCUGAGGCGCGAAAGUGUGGGGAGCAAACAGGAUUAGAUACCCUGGUAGUCCACACUGUAAACGAUGAAUGCUAGGUGUAGGGGGUAUCGACCCCUUCUGUGCCGCAGUCAACACAAUAAGCAUUCCGCCUGGGGAGUACGGCCGCAAGGUUGAAACUCAAAUGAAUUGACGGGG